GAAAGACACUGUUAAAUUUCUCUUGUUGCUUUGCUGCUGUCUGACCACUAUGAACUGUUGCCCCUCUGCCACCCCACCUUGGAGCCAGCCAAUUAUAGACUGAAGCCGCUAGGAACUAUAAGCUAAGUAAACCUUUCCCUCUUUAACUUUGGGUAUCAGGUAUUUUGUCUCAGCAGCAAGAGAAAACUAAGUAAAACAUCCAUAGAAUUUAUUCAGAUUUCACUGAUUAUAAAUGCACUCAUAUGCAUUUUUUAUGUGUUUGUAGCUUUACGUGCUUUUAUCACAGGUAGCAUUACAUUGCCUUCUCUGUAGUCAAGAUACUCAUCUGAGGCAUGCAUGUGACCUAUUCCUGUGGUUCUAGCUACUCAGGAAACUAAGAGGAUCACUUGAGGCCAGCAAUAUAGUGAGACCAUUUCAAGAAAAAAGACACUCAAAUGUAACAUAAGAUCCCCUUAUUUUACAAACCUUUGUAGCUAUCCCAUACCUUUCCCCAUACCUGAGCCAUCUAAUAUCUUACAUCUUACAUUUUUUUCAUGAAUAUGUCAGAAUCAAGGUUUAUGUAUUCUGUUGACAUUAUUUUGUUGUUGUUGUUAUGGGUUUUUUGUUUGCUUGUUUGGUUAUUUUUUGUUUUUUUGAGACAAGGUCUCACUAUGCAGUUCAGGCUGCCCUUGAAUUCACUGUGUAGCCCAGGCUGACCUCAAAGUCAAAGUGAUCCUCCUGCCUUAGCCUUCCAAUUGGGAUCACAGGCAUGUACCACCUCCCUUAGCUUCACAUUGGCUUUUUUAGUUAGUUGAAUACUAUUCCAUAGUACAGAUUUACUGUGAUCUGACCAUUUACCACUGAGACAUUUGAGCAUUUUCUACUUUGGGGAUAUUAUGAAUAAAGUUAAUAGAGACAAAAAAAGAAUGAAAAGCAUCAUAUCACAGCAAUAUAUGUGCACCCAUGUUAAUAAUGGCACAAUUAUGCACACUUGGGAUGGAAUCUGGGCAUGCCUCUGGCUGGGCCUGCCCCCCUUACAUAGCUAUUGUCUGGGAGGGCCUUUGGCUGGGGGCUGUGCAACAGAAUUGCUGUUGCCUGAGCAGGCUUCCGGCUGUGGUCUGCACGGACUUACCAGUGGUAUAUGUGUAGGCCUCUGGCAACAGCUUGUGCACUUGUGCAGCUCUUUUCCAGGCUGGCCUUUGGCUGGGCUUGUUGGUCCAAGCUGUGGAGGUCAGGGCAGGACCCUAGCUGGGAUCUGUGUGCAACCAUGCCACUCUGGUCCAUGUGGGCUUCUUGCUGUUAUCUGGGGAAAAACUUUUUGAAAUAACUGUAGUGACAACAUGGUUGAUGCUUACAGAUUAGCUGACUAACAUGGACAUCCAACUUGAUAUUUGGGCAAAUUCCUUUGAAGUUACACUCAAUAAAAUCUGUCUUCUACACAACUUGCUUCUCUCCUGCAUCAUUCAGCCCACCUGAAAUUCCUUUCCUCUCUACCUCUGCAAAUGUUUCAAUGUCAGUUUCAAUCUACAGAACAUCCAGGAUGUCUGCAUUGGUUAAGCCAUUCUUUUCCAUGUUUCCAUAGUCUGUGUGCAGCAAUGGUGUCCAUCUUCAUGUUAUGCCAUUAUAUUUUGUGUUUUGCAAUUGUUUGAAAAUUAUUUCCACUUUGUAUCCCUGUGUAUUUUGUUUCUCCUCAGCUAGAUGGAUUUUUCCUAGAGAAAACAGUGUUCUGAUUACUUUUCCAUUUAAUUUUAUGGAUUCUUAGGGAAGAUUUGAGCACAUAAUAAAUAUUUAAGUGCUUUCUAAGCAAUACAGGCCUGACCAUUUAAAUGUUCUGGUAAAUACAGAACUAGUUAAUGAACCAUGAAAUGUUCAACCUGUCAAAUAACUAAGUUCCAUUUUGAUCAGAAAACAAUUAGUAUAUAGACCAGUGUACUAUAUUAUUUACAUCCAGUGAUUCUUCGUGUUCUUUUAUUGUCCCAUAAUAUAACUUUUAUAUAAGAAAUAUUUUAACUAUUGUGACUCCCAAGAGAUGGGAAAUUAUUCCAGACCUAAAAGAAAAAACAACAAUUUAUUAAAUGAGAAACACAUAGUAAAGAUGUAUAUCAUGUAGAGAAAAUCUUUCAGAGAUAUUCUGUUAAGCUCUACCCCCUCCAGAAAUGUCCUGUAACUCUGCCCCCUUACUUUGGGAAUAUUCUGUAACUCCACCCCCCUGCUUCAUUGACAAUGCUCGCCUACCCUGUAUAUCCCUAUAUAAGGAGGCUUUCAUUUCUAGCAGAGUGCUCAGACUCCUCUGAGCCCAUCAGGGCUCUCUGGAAUAAUAAAGUUUUUUCUUGACCUCUUCAACUGACUAUUGAAUACUCAAGUCUUCAAAGAAUGAGAGCUGCAACCUAAAGCCACCACACUGAGCUGUAAAGCUCAGGUGUGCCUUCCAAGCUGUGGCACUUGGCUGCAACACUGAGCUAUAACACUUAGCCAUGCCUCUGAGCUGUGGCACUCAGCUGUAACACUGGGCUAUAUCACAGAACUGCUCUACUCUUCUUCAACACUAUUACAAUCAUUCAUUUUCCUGAGUGUAAGAUAAAGGGCUUAGAUGUCAUUCCCAGAUAAUUAAUCCAUGAUGUUACAGGCAGGAUUGUGAGGUACAAAUGUUCACUACACCACUUGGUCCCUAUUGAGUUGGAGGAUUGGCAGGAAGACCAGAAGUAUUUCCCCAAGAAGAAAGCAUCUUGGCCUUAUUGGCACAUAUGUGCACUGCAGACUCUGAUGUUUUCCUUGAAUUUUUGUCAGGGUAGGGUUAUAAUCAUGAUUACAUAUAAUAAUGGAGCAGUUCACAUUGCUGGGUGCACAGCUCAGGACAAAGGUGGAGUUAGAGUGUGAGCCUACAAAAUUAAACACCAUUUUUAAAUACCAUUAAAGUACACAUAUACAACUGCUUUUUUAAAACAGGAAAAGGAACUUUAGGAAUUUUAAGAUUGUUUUAAAUACAGAUUUCCUACAUAGCAAAACUAUUCAGCAGCCUUCAAUCACUUUGACAUUGAAUGUGAGUUAGCCAUUAUAACUUAAUUAAUAGAGUUUAAUAUAUGGAGCUCAUAUCUACAGCAUCAGUACAUAAUUAAAGACAUACUUUUAAUAUCUGCUGUAUGAUAUUUGGAAGAUUUUGUUUUUAGUGGUAAAUGUUGGUAGUGCAUAAUUAUUACAUUCAACAUGGGGAGAUGGUACAUGUACAUGACACAUUUAAUUCUUUUUUUUAAUCUUUUUACCCCCUUCUUUCUUUCCCCUCCCUCCAGCUUUGGAUCCUUUUUCUUACAUAUUUUUUGCACAUGUUUGUAAUGAUCACAUCACUUUGUGCAUGUACAAAACCCAUUUUACUGGCAUUACCAUUUUAUUGUAGGAACUAAUUUCUUCCUUUUUGUUUUUCUGUGAUCUGUUGAUUACUUGAGAGGGUAUUGCCCAAUUUUCAAGUGUUUGCAUGGUUUCUGUGUUAUCUUUUGCCAUUGAUUUCUAGUUUCACUGCAGUAAGAUCUGAUAAUAUGCAUGGAAUAAUUUUGAUCAUUUUACAUUUGCAAAUUAGCAUGUGGUCUAUUUGAAAGAAAGUCCCAGUGAUGCUGAGAAGAAUCUGUAUUCUGUUGUUAUUGGGAAGAACAUAGUACAUAUCUAUUAAGUCCAUUUGUUUGAGAUUUUGGUUCAACUCGAUAUUCUUUGUUCUUCUUUUUGUUUAGUUGAUCUGCCUAUUCUGACAGUCGAGUAUUGAGAUCCCCCAUUAUAAUUGUGUUGAUAUUUAUCUGAUUUUUAUGUUCCUAGUGUUUAUUUCAUGAAAGUCUGUGUGUGUGUGCAUAUGCGCUGUUUUUUGGUGUAUAUAUUUAUAAUUGUUAUAUCUUCUUUUGAAUUAUUCCAUUCAUCUAAUGUGUAGUGACCUUCUUUGUCUCUUCUGAUCAAUUUUGGCUUGAAAUCCACUUUGUUUGAAAUUUGUAUAGCUGCUCUUGCUUUUUUCCAGGUUCCUAUUGCAUGGAAUAUUGUUUUCCAUCCCAUGAUUUUUAAUGAUGCUUCUUGCUAAUUCAAUCUGUUUCUCUUUGAUAUGUAAGUGACCUAUCAUUGACAUGUACUGCAUGCUUUCUUCUGUGUGGAUUUUGUCCCAAUGAUAAAGAUAAAAAUAAAAUUUUCUUUACUUUUAUCAUUUUUCAGAGUGCACACAGGAAGUUGUGGUUUAAUUAGACUGCACUGGUAACAAAAUAUUGCUAAUUUUUUUAAAAAGUGCUUCCAGUUUUUAGCUGUGAUUGAAAAUAAUACAACUAACUUUAAUGAUUUAAUGCAAUUACACUCUCUCCCAAUUCACCAGUGAGACUUUGAUAUACAUGUGAUCAAUUAACCUGGUGCACUUUAAUCUGUCUUCUAGGUGGACUUUCUCCUAAUAACAAAAGAGAAAAUAAAAUGUUAUUUGAUCUUGUUAUCUUUUUUUCUGGUACCCUUUCUGGAGAUUGUGGUUUAAUUUUACUGAGUCAGCGACCAGGUAUUAGCCAUAAAAUCAAAACCAAACCAAACCACAUGUUUCUACUCUGUGGCUUUAUUUUAAGUAAAAUUCAGAAACACAAGCAUAAAUAUCACAUUGUUCCUCUUAUGUGAGAAAUGCAAAGUAUAAAGACAAAAUGAAAGAUAGACAAUAAGAAGUUGGGAGAUUGAUCUUUCUCAAAGGGGAAGGGAAUCAUGAGAUGGAAAAGGAAGGGAAAGGAAAAGAGUGAAUAAAAUGAAUUAAGAUAUGUUUUAUACAUGGACCAACUCCACAUAAGGAGCAUAAAUAUUAUGUACCAAUAAAGAAAAUGAUCUGAAAAAAAUAGGAAUAAAUAAAUAAGAAAUAAAGGAAAUGAUAUGGUGUAACCAAAUUACAAUACUCAAAAUUCUGGCUUUUUUGGAGUGACUGGGUAGGAACAUUAGAUCAGAGGCAAUUUGAUAUAUUGUAUGAGUUGUAUGUUUAAAAAGUUGUACAGUGACCACAGAGUGGACAGUGAGGACCUAAGCCACGUGAAUCAGGGCUCUCUCCAGCCUGCACAUGUGCCCAGCCCCCCAGAAACCAGCUCAGCCCGGUGGGCGCAUGCAGCAUACCCCCCUCAUCAGUACCUGGUUCCACACUACAGAGGCACAGGGGGUCAUAAAGGCCAUUGUCCUGAGCUCCAGAAAAUAGAGCAGAAGUGAACAACAGAAAGAGGGCUUCUCUCAGGCUCCUUGAUGAAAAUUGAAGCCCACUGGAAAAGUGAAGAUAAUCUCUGCAAUAAAGGCACACUAGGCCACUGUAUUUGGACAAGGGAGACUCCAGGAAAUCAAGAAAACUGCCAGUAUCACACAGCUCAGUGAUGGAACAAAUGUGAUUUGAAUGAGAUAUUCCAAAGGCUAUCAAAGUACGUCAUGGCUUUAACACAGCCUCCUGAAGAAUAGUUUUAAGAUUCUCUUCUUUCCAUUGUUGCAGAAGUGGAAGUAGCUCAAUGUAAUUAAGAACAGAGCAAUUCUUAAAAAAUUCAGUCUAGAGGUUUUAAUAAUUUCCACAUAUGGCCCCUCUACCUUUCAGUGUCUUCCAAACAUAAGGCUUCUAUUGUUUAUGGUUCAUUAUUAUCAGGAAUCAAAGUUGAAAUAUUGGAGAACAAGGGAGGGAAAUUACAGAUAGCUCAAAGGCAAUGUAGAAUGAAAGGUAGGGAAAAGACAAAUCCCAUGACAUGGGAGACCAAAACAUGCAGAAUGUAAUUGAUGGCACCAUUUAGGCAUCAGAAGGUUUCAAACAACACUGGAGCAUUCUGUGUUACUACAACACUAAUGGCAAUGCUUAAGUGAGUAAUGUACAGAUGCCAUUAUGUUUUCUUCUCAGUUGACUAGUGCAGGUAUUUUCUCAUCCAAGUACUAAUACUGCAUAACCCUGAUUAGCUUCUGAAAUCAGAUAAGGUAAGACAAGAUGCUUUCCAGUUGUUUUGGUCAUUGACUAGUGCAGGUAUUUUAAGUUUUAUUAGUAUGGAAAAUUAAAUUUAGUGUAGACACUGUUACAUAAUGCUAUAUCACUCACAAUUAGUAUUCUAAUAAUUUACAGAGAAUUUCUACAUCCAUUAUAACCCUUUUGAUUACCCAUUUCCAUUGCCAAAAAUGAGAAUAUUCCACUUCAGGGCUGAGAACUGGGCUAUGGUAACUCAACUCAGUACUUUGGCCAAGGACACACAGACA
ensembl:lncRNA